GCACGAGUCAACAGCGUCGACUUGACUAAAACAACACGGAAUCGUCCUACCGAUCAGCUGUUUAAGAAGAAAACUGUGAAAACGAAACCUAUUCUCUUCUAGCUCCUGAACCAUCGUCAACCAGUUUGCAGAAACUUCAUCACUGAGGAAUCCACAGAGGUCGUCACCACAGCUGAGGCUGAUUACAGGAAGCAGAUUGCCUGUAGCUGCUACAAAAUCCGGGU